rnacentral:rRNA from 1 species
GACGAACGCUGGCGGCGUGCUAAACACAUGCAAGUCGGACGGUAAGGCCCUUCGGGGUACACGAGUGGCGAACGGGGUGAGUAACACGUGGGUGAUCUGCCCUGCACUUCGGGAUAAGCCUGGGAAACUGGGUCUAAUACCGGAUAGGACCACUGCCUGCAUGGGUGGUGGUGGAAAGCUUUUGCGGUGUGGGAUGGGCCCGCGGCCUAUCAGCUUGUUGGUGGGGUGAUGGCCUACCAAGGCGACGACGGGUAGCCGGCCUGAGAGGGUGACCGGCCACACUGGGACUGAGAUACGGCCCAGACUCCUACGGGAGGCAGCAGUGGGGAAUAUUGCACAAUGGGCGCAAGCCUGAUGCAGCGACGCCGCGUGAGGGAUGACGGCCUUCGGGUUGUAAACCUCUUUCAGCACCGACGAAGCGCAAGUGACGGUAGGUGCAGAAGAAGGACCGGCCAACUACGUGCCAGCAGCCGCAGUAA